rnacentral:rRNA from 1 species
AGUCGAGGGGCAGCAUGGUCUUAGCUUGCUAAGGCCGAUGGCGACCGGCGCACGGGUGAGUAACACGUAUCCAACCUGCCGUCUACUCUUGGACAGCCUUCUGAAAGGAAGAUUAAUACAAGAUGGCAUCAUGAGUCCGCAUGUUCACAUGAUUAAAGGUAUUCCGGUAGACGAUGGGGAUGCGUUCCAUUAGAUAGUAGGCGGGGUAACGGCCCACCUAGUCUUCGAUGGAUAGGGGUUCUGAGAGGAAGGUCCCCCACAUUGGAACUGAGACACGGUCCAAACUCCUACGGGAGGCAGCAGUGAGGAAUAUUGGUCAAUGGGCGAGAGCCUGAACCAGCCAAGUAGCGUGAAGGAUGACUGCCCUAUGGGUUGUAAACUUCUUUUAUAAAGGAAUAAAGUCGGGUAUGGAUACCCGUUUGCAUGUACUUUAUGAAUAAGGAUCGGCUAACUCCGUGCCAGCAGCCGCGGUAAUACGGAGGAUCCGAGCGUUAUCCGGAUUUAUUGGGUUUAAAGGGAGCGUAGAUGGAUGUUUAAGUCAGUUGUGAAAGUUUGCGGCUCAACCGUAAAAUUGCAGUUGAUACUGGAUAUCUUGAGUGCAGUUGAGGCAGGCGGAAUUCGUGGUGUAGCGGUGAAAUGCUUAGAUAUCACGAAGAACUCCGAUUGCGAAGGCAGCCUGCUAAGCUGCAACUGACAUUGAGGCUCGAAAGUGUGGGUAUCAAACAGGAUUAGAUACCCUGGUAGUCCACACGGUAAACGAUGAAUACUCGCUGUUUGCGAUAUACUGCAAGC